UACAGAGACUGCAAGCGUUAUUCGGAUUCACUGGGCGUAAAGGGUGCGCAGGCGGCCGUGUGUGUGAGGCGUGAAAGCCCGAUGCUUAACAUCGGAAUUGCACCUCAAACUACAUGGCUAGAGCAUUGGAGAGGGUAGCAGAAUUCAUGGUGUAGCAGUGAAAUGCGUAGAUAUCAUGAGGAAUACCAGAGGCGAAGGCGGCUACCUGGACAAUUGCUGACGCUCAGGCACAAAAGCGUGGGGAGCAAAAGGG
rnacentral:rRNA from 1 species